rnacentral:rRNA from 1 species
CACGUAGGGUGCGAGCGUUGUCCGGAAUUAUUGGGCGUAAAGAGCUCGUAGGCGGUGUGUCGCGUCGGCCGUGAAAACCUGCAGCUUAACUGUGGGCUUGCGGUCGAUACGGGCAUCACUGGAGUUCGGCAGGGGAGACUGGAAUUCCUGGUGUAGCGGUGAAAUGCGCAGAUAUCAGGAGGAACACCGGUGGGCGAAGGCGG